rnacentral:rRNA from 1 species
AGUGAACGUUGGCGGCGUGGAUUAGGCAUGCAAGUCGAGCGAGAACCGUAGCAAUACGGGGACAGCGGCGAAAGGGACAGUAAUGUGUAGGUACCUACCUCCGGGUUCGGGAUAGCUGCGGGAAACUGCAGGUAAUACCGAAUAACGUCUCCGGACCAAAGGUGUGAUUCCACCUGGAGAGGGGCCUGCAUCCUAUUAGCUUGUUGGCGGGGUAACGGCCCACCAAGGCGACGAUGGGUAGCGGGGGUGAGAGCACGACCCGCGUCAUUGGGACUGAGACACUGCCCAGGCACCUACGGGUGGCUGCAGUCGUGAAUCGGCGGCAAUGGGCGAAAGCCUGACCGAGCGACGCCGCGUGCGGGAUGAAGGCCUUCGGGUUGUAAACCGCUGUCGUAGAGGAGGAAAUGCAGGGGGGUUCUCCCCUCUGUUUGACCUAUUCUAGGAGGAAGUACGGGCUAAGUUCGUGCCAGCAGCAGCCGCGG